UAGGGAAUAUUGGUCAAUGGAGGCAACUCUGAACCAGCCAUGCCGCGUGCAGGAAGAAGGCGCUCAGCGUCGUAAACUGCUUUUAUAUGGGAGGAAAAGUGGUGAUUUAUCAUCAUCUGACGUUACCAUAGGAAUAAGCACCGGCUAACUCUGUG
rnacentral:rRNA from 1 species